GAUGCGUGAACGGUGGGACAUGUGUCCCUUUUGAGAGAGGCUCUAUCUGCAUUUGUCCCGAUGGCUUCAGUGGAUCAAAGUGUGAUUCUAGAUCGAAGUAUGCACCCCUCAUUUUCAUCUGUGACGAGGAAGCCGGAACCAUCUUAGAGGGCAGUGCAGAUACCUUGCAGUUUAGUCCUUUGCCGAUCCCCAAUGGACACAGACCCGUAGCAGUAGGGUAUAGCCCCGAAGAAGACUUCAUCUUCUGGGUGGAUGCUCGAAACGGCACACUUAAUCGAGCUUUCCGAAACGGAUCUGAUCACGUUGUACUUGGGAAUACAUUUUCGGAUAUUACCGAUCUUACGAUCCAUCAACAUUCUCAAAUACUUGGAUACAUCGUAACACAGACCAAUUUAAUACUCCAGCAAGGCUUCGAUGUAGCUUCUACUAGUAAGACUAUCUACAAUGGAGUUAGCGAUCUGGCGUCUGUGUGCUUUCAUCC